rfam:Pedobacter ginsenosidimutans strain KACC 14530 contig03, whole genome shotgun sequence.
UGCUUAUUAAGAAAGACGGAGGGAUUAGACCCAACGAAGUCUUAGCAACCUGUAACCAUACAAGGUGCUAAAUUCUAUUCUGCAAAUAGCAGAAACAGAUAAGUU